AUCUAUAGCUUAUGGACAGGAAAGAAGCAUACAAAUAGCAGCUCUUUGACAUUUUAGCUGUGUUUCUGUGUCAUUUUUUGUUGUUUGUUAUGAGCAGUGUAUUCUGAAUGGUUCCAUAAGAUGGAGGCUGCAGCAGUUAAAUGCAGACCGUCUACUAAGAACACUAAAUGACAUCUGCUGUCUAAAUGUCUAAGAAUAACAUGGAAAACAAACAAGGGAAAGGGAAAUGACUGGCUCUGAUCUAUUUAUUCCUGCCAUUAUAAUAUACUCCUUGGCUCAUCACAGUUGUUACCUUGCAAACAAAUUAUGAUGCUGAUUUUUGUUUUGAUCACAAAUAGAUGUUAGAAUGGAAAUGUUGUAGAGAGAUGCUUAUGGAUAAAAACAUGCACAGGUUCUCUCCCAUGAAAAAGCGAAAGACUGAGCAGUGUAGAGAAUGGGUCUUCUAUCAUAUAUAAUCUAAAUUAAGCAUAUACAGUAUAUGGGACUAGACAUGGGUGCUUUUUAUAAAAACCGCAGAUAAAAGAGUCAAGCAGCAGCAAACAAGUCAAGAACGUGAGGAACACAGUAUGUGAAAGGGAAAGCACAGCGGCUGUGAGAGAAGCAACCACAAGGUAUAGUGAGGUUGACAGGAACUGCAGAGAGACUGGAAGCACAAAGUUUUGAGGGAAAAUAGAACGAUCGGCACAUAACACACUGGCAUUUAAGCAGAAUGUUGCUGCUGAUUAACUAGUUUGAGUUGUCGAUGAUGUUUGUUCCACGAGGGAGGGAGAUGAGGUGCUUGCAUGGAUACAGAAUCAGCGAAUGUUCGGAUUAGGGACUCCGGAGAAGGGAUAUUGAGAAAAUGAUGGUCUUGCCAGUUGGAUUCCCACCGUCAACACUGUGAAGGCAAGGCAACCCCACGGACAAACACAUACAGACCAAAGCCCAAGCAAAGAGAAUGCCCAAUUCCCAAUGAGCUCUAAGUCCUUGUGGUGGCGUAGUGACUCACCUCACUCCGGGUGGCGGAGGACGAAUCUCAGUUGCCUCCGCGUCUGAGUCCGUCAAUCAACACAUCUUAUCACGUGGCUUGUUGAGCACGUUACCGCGGAGACAUAGCACGUGUGAAGGCUUCGCACUAUUCUCGACGUGCCCCAUCGAGAGCAAACCACAUUAUUGUGACCACGAGGAGGUUACUCCAUGUGACUCUAUCCUCCCUAGCAACCGGGCCAAUUUGGUAGCUUAGGAGACCUGGCUGGAGUCUAUAUAUAUAUAUAUAUAUAUAUAUAUAUAUAUAUAUAUAUAUUAUUUAUUUAUUUAUUUAUCCACUUUUUGGAUAAAUGUCCUCUGGCCUUAUGAAACAAAAAUUGAACUGUUUGGCCAUAAUGACCAUCAUUAUGUUUGGAGGAAAAAGGGUGAGGCUUGCAAGGCGAAGAACACCAUCCCAACCGUGAAGCAUGGGGGUCUAUGACCCAAAAGCUUGUUUUAUUGGAUGAAACGUUUUUAUUCAAGCAAAGAAAAAAGACAGAUAUUUUUUUGUAGUAUCCAGAGUGAAGUUGUCUUUAGGAAUGCAUUGUUUUUAUUUAAAGGCUAAUAAGACUAGUGAAAUGAUUUUGCAGUCUCUGAAGUCAUCCGGCAUGUCAAUUGAGUUAAAGCAAAUCGAUACGCAUCACAAAAACAAAACAUGUAUGUGUACGCGUGUGUUAAUGUUGCUCCGAUACCAAAAUUUUGGCUUCAGUACGAUACCAGCCCUUGUACCUCGGUAUCGAUACUAACUUGAUACUUAGGCAAAAAAAAAAAAAAAAUGAUUUUUUAUGAAAUUACACAGAAAAUUACUUGUCUAAAAGAACUGCAUAAAGUCUUAUAGAUACAAAUUAUGCCUUUUCUGUUUUCUGGAUUCCAUGUUAAAUGUUUUAAUUAAAUGCUAUUAUCAAAUACAUACUGUACAGCUUUAAUCAAAUGAAAAUAUAAUACUUUUCAACUAUAUACACUACCGGUCAAAAGUUUUGAAACACUCAUUCUUUAUUAUAAUUUUUUCUUCACAUUUUAGAAUAAUAGUGAAGUCAUCAAAACUAUGGAAUAACAUAAAUGGAACUAUGGGAAUUAUGUUGUGACUAAACAAAAUCCAAAAUAAAUCAAAACUGUGUUAUAUUUUAGCAUCUUCAAAGUAGUCACCCUUUGCCUAGAAUUUGCAGACAUGUACUCUUGACUUUUUCUCAACCAACUUCUUGAGGUAUCACCCUGGGAUGCUUUUAAACAGUAUUGAAGGAGUUCCCAUCUAUGUUGGACACUUAUUGGCUGCUUUUCUUUAUUAUUUGGUCCAAGUCAUCAAUUUCAAAAACUUUUUUUUUUAUUACAUUUUAGUUUUAUAAUUAAAUAAAUUAAUAUGGUGGCACAAUUAUAUUUUUGUCUACAAAAUUUCAAACAUUUAAGCAUACUUCUUCAGAUCAAAAGAUUUUUAAGAUCAUGAGAAACAUUUCAGUCAAGUGUUUCAAAACUUUUAACCGGUAGUGUAUAUGUAAGUAAUUUUUUCCAACAAUUGUUUACAGUCAGAUUGUUUCACUUUUAAUUGACUAUAUCACAAUUCCAGUGGGUUAGAAGUUUACAUACACUAAGUUAACUGUGCCUGUAAGCAGCUUGGAAGAUUCCAGAACAUUAUGUCAAGCCUUUAGGCAAUUAGUCAGUUAGCUUCUGAUAGGCUAAUUGGAAUCAAAUGGAGGUGUACUUGUGGAUGUAUUUUAAGGCCUACCUUCAAACUCAGUGCCUCUUUGCUUGACAUCAAGGGAAAAUCAAAAGAAAUCAGCCAAGACUUCAGAAAAACAUUUGUGGACCUCCACAAAUCUGGUUCAUCCUUGGGAGCAAUUUCCAAAUGAUUGAACUGUGCACGUUCAUCUGUUCAAACAAUAGUAUGCAAGUAUAAACACCAUGGGACCAUGCAGCCAUCAUACUGAUCAGGGAGGAGAUGCAUUAUGUCUCCUAGAGAUGAACGUAGUUUGGUGCGAAAAGUGCAAAUCAAUCCCAGAACAACAGCAAAUGACCUUGUGAAGAUGCUGGAAGAAACAGGUAGACAAGUAUCUAUAUCCACAGUAAAAUGAGUCCUAUAUCAACAUAACCUGAAAGGCUGCUCAGCAAGAAAGAUGCCAAUGCUCCAAAACCACCAUAAAAAAGCCAGACUACAGUUUGCAGGUGCACAUGGGGACAAAAAUCUUACUUUUUGGAUAAAUGUCCUCUGGCCUUAUGAAACAAAAAUUUAACUGUUUGGCCAUAAUGACCAUCGUUAUAUUUGGAGGAAAAAGGGUGAGGCUUGCAAGCCGAAGAACACCAUCCCAACCGUGAAGCAUGGGGGUGGUAGCAUCAUGUUGUGGGGGUGCUUUGCUGCAAGAGGGACUGGUGCACUUCAAAAAAUAGAUGGCAUCAUGAAGAAGGAAAAUUAUGUGCAUACAUUGAAGCAACAUCUCAAGACAUCAGCCAGGAAGUUAAAGCUCGGUCACAAAUGGGUCUUCCAAAUGGACAAUGACCCCAUGCAUACCUCUAAACUUGUGGAAAAAUGGCUUAAGGACAACAAAGUCAUGGUAUUGGAGUGGCCAUUACAAAGCCCUGACCUCAAUCUGAUAGAAAAUUUGUGGGCAGAACUGAAAAAGCAUGUGUGAGCAAGAAUGCCUACAAGCCUGACACUUUUACACCAGUUCUGUCUGGAGGAAUGGGCCAAAAUUCCAACAACUUAUUGUGAGAAGCUUAUGGAAGGCUACCCAAAAUGUUUGACCCAAGUUCAACAAUUUUAAGGCAAUGCUACCAAAUACUAACAAAGUGUAUUCAAACUUCUGACCCAUUGGGAAUGUGAUGAAAGAAAUAAAAGCUGAAAUAAAUCAUUCUCUCCACUAUUAUUCUUACAUUUCACAUUCUUAAAUUAGUGAUCCUAACAGGGAAUGUUUUCUAUGAUUAAAUGUCAGGAAUUGUGAAAAACUGAGUUUAAAUGUAUUUAAAUGUAAGGUGUAUGUAAACUUCUG